rnacentral:lncRNA from 1 species
GGGGGGGGCUGCUUCUUCUUCGGAGGAGUUCGGUCGGGGCUCCAGGCUGUCAAUUUCACCCUGUUCAGGUUUGGCUUCCUCCAAGAUAGUGCAUUCUACUAUAAAGUUCGCCAAUAUCUGGGCUUUCACUGUCGGUCUGGGUCGAUAGUUGAUGUCGAAUUCUAUGAGCUCAAUCGCCCAUUGCGCUAUCCUCCCGGAGGUAUCUGUCCGGUGCAGGAUCGCCUUGAUCGGCUG